AACGAACGCUGGCGGCAUGCCUAACACAUGCAAGUCGAACGAGACCUUCGGGUCUAGUGGCGCACGGGUGCGUAACGCGUGGGAACCUGCCCUUAGGUUCGGAAUAACUCCCCGAAAGGGGUGCUAAUACCGGAUAAUGUCUUCGGACCAAAAAUUUAUCGCCUUUGGAUGGGCCCGCGUUGGAUUAGCUAGUUGGCAGGGUAAAAGCCUACCAAGGCGACGAUCCAUAGCUGGUCUGAGAGGAUGAUCAGCCACACUGGGACUGAGACACGGCCCAGACUCCUACGGGAGGCAGCAGUGGGGAAUAUUGGACAAUGGGCGAAAGCCUGAUCCAGCAAUGCCGCGUGAGUGAUGAAGGCCUUAGGGCUGUAAAGCUCUUUUACCCGGGAUGAUAAUGACAGUACCGGGAGAAUAAGCUCCGGCUAACUCCGUG
rnacentral:rRNA from 1 species